CCAGCAAGUACCCUGGUUCGCAAUAUUUAAUCAAAAUAUUUGUAUUUAGGCGACUUCCAGCUGACUAGUGCCGUCAGUUCCUUAGCUGACAACAACAACAAAAACAGCAACAUGAAUAAAUAGAUCUAAGGGCCUGCGAUCCUCUGAUGAACUUUCAGUGAGGUGAAGGAUGAAAGCUGGUAUUUUUCCAGAGUGAAAAGACUGGAUUCCUAUGCCUGACCUUGUCUUUGAAGAAUCCUCAUCAACUUGGAUGUUUUUGUCACUGGAGUCACUGGAUUUCCUAGCCACUUGGAUUAUACCUGGAUUGCCAACACUUUUCUUACUAAGUUACCGGCUGGCGACUAUUCCGACGGUGCCUUUCCUGGAACAACUACGGACAACCACAAGCGAACCCUGUCCACCCUCCCACACAAUAACAUCAUCAGCCGAACCUCAGAGUACCUCAAAGUGAGUCCAAGUACCUACCAGCUUCGUUCAUCUCAGUGUGCAGUUCCAAUGUUGUCUCACCCCCUCCUGGCUGAUCAAACUCCACUUCCUAUUGUCUUCCGGUUCCAGCUCCAUUUCCCUUUACCUGCUCACUGUAAAAUAAAAC